rfam:Pteropus alecto contig163000, whole genome shotgun sequence.
AAGGAUGCCCAUGCUACCCUGAACAAGCCCGAUCCCAUCUGACCUCAGAAGCUAAGGAAGGUCAGGCUUGGUUGGUACUUGGAUGGGAGACCACCUAGGAAGACCAGGUGCUGUAGGUG